CGGCCCCCGUGGCUUCGACGGGUAGCCGGCCUGAGAGGGCGACCGGCCACAUUGGGACUGAGAUACGGCCCAGACUCCUACGGGAGGCAGCAGUGGGGAAUAUUGCACAAUGGGCGCAAGCCUGAUGCAGCGACGCCGCGUGAGGGAUGGAGGCCUUCGGGUUGUAAACCUCUUUUAUCGGGGAGCAAGCGAGAGUGAGUUUACCCGUUGAAUAAGCACCGGCUAACUACGUGCCAGCAGCCGCGGUAAUACGUAGGGUGCAAGCGUUAUCCGGAAUUAUUGGGCGUAAAGGGCUCGUAGGCGGUUCGUCGCGUCCGGUGUGAAAGUCCAUCGCUUAACGGUGGAUCCGCGCCGGGUACGGGCGGGCUGGAGUGCGGUAGGGGAGACUGGAAUUCCCGGUGUAACGGUGGAAUGUGUAGAUAUCGGGAAGAACACCAAUGGCGAAGGCAGGUCUCUGGGCCGUUACUGACGCUGAGGAGCGAAAGCGUGGGGAGCGAACAGGAUUAGAUACCCUGGUAGUCCACGCCGUAAACGGUGGAUGCUGGAUGUGGGGCCCGUUCCACGGGUUCCGUGUCGGAGCUAACGCGUUAAGCAUCCCGCCUGGGGAGUACGGCCGCAAGGCUAAAACUCAAAGAAAUUGACGGGGGCCCGCACAAGCGGCGGAGCAUGCGGAUUAAUUCGAUGCAACGCGAAGAACCUUACCUGGGCUUGACAUGUUCCCGACCGCUCCAGAGAUGGGGCUUCCCUUCGGGGCGGGUUCACAGGUGGUGCAUGGUCGUCGUCAGCUCGUGUCGUGAGAUGUUGGGGUUAAGUCCCGCAACGAGCGCACCCCUCGCCCCGUGUUGCCAGCGGGAUAUGCCGGGAACUCACGGGGGACCGCCGGGGGUUACUCGGAAGAANGUGGGGGAUGACNUCCAAUCAUCAUGCCCCCUAACGUCAGGGCUUCACGCAUGCUACAAUGGCCGGGAACACGGGGAUGCAACCCGGCGACCCGGAACGAAUCCCCUGAAACCGGUCUCAAUUCGGAUCGCAAUCUGC
rnacentral:rRNA from 1 species